CCGGCACCGGCGCCGGGCAGGGCGGCCCGAGCCGCCUUUCCCGCGGCAGCGGUUGGAGUUGUCGAAGUUGGUGGUGGCCGCGAUGAGCGCGGCUCCUCUCCGCUCCCCCGCCCGGCGGGGCCCCUGAUGGCUGCUGCCCCUGCCUCGCAGGCUGCUGGGUUUGGUCUCGGGUGGCUUUUUUUUUUGUGCGUGCGUGUUUUUCUUUUUGUUAUUAUUUUUCUCCUCCGUCUCGCUCUCGCUCCAGCCAAGGUGAAUGGCCCGCGGUGGGUGUAGCUGGCCUCAGCGGCUCCGCAAGGGGAAAAUGCUGGCGGUGGGGGUGCUGGCCGGCCUCUCGGUGCUCAGCCUCCUCACCUACGGCUACCUGUCCUGGGACAGCCUCGGACGCGGCCCCGGAGAGGCGCCGGCAGCGCUGGGAGAAGAGCCGGGGGUCGGCACCCCCAGCUCGCAGCCGCACAUCGUCUUCAUCCUGGCUGAUGAUCAGGGCUUCAGAGAUGUAGGGUACCACGGCUCGGAGAUCAGGACGCCCACUCUGGACAAGCUAGCUGCUGAAGGGGUUAAACUGGAGAACUAUUAUGUUCAGCCUAUGUGCACACCAUCCAGAAGCCAGUUUAUCACUGGAAAGUACCAGAUACACACCGGCCUUCAGCACUCCAUUAUACGGCCAACCCAGCCCAACUGCCUACCUCUGGAUAACGUCACGCUACCUCAGAAACUGAAGGAGGUUGGUUAUUCAACACACAUGGUUGGCAAAUGGCACUUGGGGUUUUAUCGCAGAGAAUGCAUGCCCACACAGAGAGGAUUUGACACUUUCUUUGGCUCACUCUUAGGCAGCGGUGACUACUACACUCACUUCAAAUGUGACAGCCCUGGAAUAUGUGGCUAUGACCUGUAUGAGAAUGAUAAUGCAGCUUGGGAUCACGACAAUGGCAUCUACUCCACACAGAUGUACACGCAAAAAGUACAACAAAUAUUAGCUUCUCACAAUCCCAGGAAACCUAUAUUCUUAUAUAUUGCUUACCAAGCUGUUCAUUCACCUCUUCAGGCACCAGGAAAGUAUUUUGAACAUUAUCGAUCCAUAAAUAACAUAAACAGGCGAAGAUACGCUGCGAUGCUAGCUUGUUUGGAUGAAGCCAUAAACAACGUUACCCUUGCUUUAAAGAAGUACGGAUACUAUGACAAUAGCAUUAUCAUAUAUUCUUCAGAUAACGGUGGGCAGCCAAUGGCUGGAGGAAGUAACUGGCCUCUCCGGGGCAGCAAAGGAACAUACUGGGAAGGAGGUAUCCGUGCUGUUGGGUUUGUUCAUAGCCCCCUUCUGAAAAACAAAGGGUCUGUGUGUAAGGAGCUUGUGCACAUCACGGACUGGUUCCCCACUUUGAUCACACUGGCCGAAGGACAGAUUGAUGAAGAUAUCCAGCUAGAUGGCUAUGAUAUUUGGGAAACCAUUAGCGAAGGCAGACGUUCUCCACGGGUAGACAUCUUACACAACAUUGAUCCAAUUUACACCAAAGCCAAAAAUGGGUCUUGGGCAGCUGGCUAUGGGAUCUGGAACACUGCAAUUCAAUCUGCCAUCAGAGUGAAUCAUUGGAAACUACUGACAGGAAAUCCAGGAUAUAGUGACUGGGUUCCUCCACAGGCCUUCAGCAAUGUGGGCCCCAACCGCUGGCAUAAUGAACGUGUUUCUUGGUCAGCUGGCAAAACUGUGUGGCUUUUCAACAUAACUGCUGAUCCAUACGAACGGGUGGACCUCUCUGCAAAGUAUCCUGAUGUAGUGAAACAGCUGUUGAGGAGGCUUUCACAGUUUAAUAAGACUGCAGUUCCUGUUCGGUACCCACCUAAGGACCCACGGAGUAACCCAAAGCUGAAUGGAGGAGUCUGGGGUCCAUGGUUUAAAGAGGAUGAAAAGAAGAAGAAGUCAGAUAAAAGUAAAGGUGCUAAUAAGCAAAAGAAGAACAAGAACAAGAAAAAAGCAAAUCGGAAAAAAGGACAAUCGUUACAUUGCCGAUCACGUCUUGCUGGUGGAUAGACUUUGAGCAUACUUUUUUUGCCAAGCCUAAGACAGCUUGGCCCAAGUUCCUUGAAUUCUGACAGAAUAUACCAGAAAUGCCUGUUCUGCACUAUGGAGGAAAGCUGUCAUCUUUUAAUUUGUUCUCAAAUUUCACUAAGAUGAGAUAUUUUGACACUCUGCAUCAAACAUACAUGAACAUCCAUGUGACAGACUUUCUCCUCUACAGGAAGAAUGGUGCUCUUCCAUCACAGCUACAUUCCAGAUAAGAACACAAUUACUCCUAACUUCAGAAGGCCCAUUUUUGAUGGACAAAUGAUUGUUCCUUUCCUGAAUUAGUUAGAAUUUUUUGAGAGUCUGGAGUGGCAGAUGUUUCAUAGAGAGAAAGGAAAAACAAAGCUUGAAAACUUCUGUAGGUCUGAGAGUGUUAGCCACCAACCUGUGACUUUUUUUUUAUAAAACAUAGCAAAAAUUGAAGCCAAUGGUAUCUUUUUUGGGGGGUGUUGGGGAGAGGAACAUGAUAGUAGGAAAGCUGCUUUGAAUUAGACUGUGUUUCUCUUAGAUAAACCAGAAAUACUUUUUAAAUUCUCUAAAUGUGCUAACCUUUCCUCAUUUGUAGUAAAACCAGAAAGUUGUUAUCGGCACACAUGAAUAACUAGCACAGGCCAUGUAUAAUUUAUUAUAGGCAUAGGCAAAAGCACAUCACCAAAGUGAAUGUAAUAUUUAAACACUUUAAGAUAUCUAUACUACAGUACAUGCAAGACGUAAUUUAUUUUACAGCACAAUACUUUCUUCUUUUCCAUUAAAACUUUAAUUAGUGGGUGAUGCAAGGGUUGUUUAUUUGUUUUUCUUUUGAUUUUUAAUUUUAUUUUCACUCAGUCAUUCAGAGUUUUAUUCAACAGAUCCACAUCCUCAGAGUACUGUAAAACAAGGAAAUGCUGUAGACACUGCUAAGAUGAGAGGAGAAUGAUUCAGGCAAAAUGAGAGUCUUUGAAUGCAAACAGUGCAAAGCAGAACAGUGGAUCAGUUCUUGUAUGAAAUAUAUGUGCCAAAAUGUAAGUGUUUGUAGAGUAUACAUUAGGAGUACAUUUUCUAAGGCUGCAGUGGCUGUCAGUUAGGAUGAUUCCCUUAAAAUCAAAACUCUGAUCUGCUUUAGGGCAAAGGUUAGAUUUACAGUGGGUUAAAAAUAUGCACAAAUUGAAAGCCUUCUUGAACCUUUUGCUGAGAAGAUCAUGGUGUGAAAAUACCACAUUGCCAUUUUCCUGUCUACUUCUACUCACUACUCCUGUUUUCACUCCAGCAAUACGUUGUUCUUUUGUUUUCAGUGCUACUACUCUGGUCUCAAACCAAACUUUCUGUGUAAAGACUUGUAAGUAGUACAUUCACUCAAAGAGCAGGAUUUCACAGGUUAUUUACAUCCCAGGAUGUGUUAUGUGUCCAGUCUCAGAGAAGAUACGAGAGGUAAGCUAUGCAAACAGUUCAAAGAAACUACUGAAACGGCAGUCCUGUAACUCAGAAUCAAAAGCAACAGUCCUGCCAAUUGCUGGACAGAUGCACUAAGGCAGUUAAUACUUUGCUCAGGAUGAUUUAUUGUGCAAAUUUUGAGAAGAUCUAGAAAAAGACUUCACAGGGAGAAUGGCAGGAAGGAUCUUUUUUAAGUUAUCUCAAUUUCUAGGCAUAUUUAACAAAUGCUAUGGGUACAACAAAAAGCCAGCUCUGAUGAUAACUCUCUGAUCUGAUCUUAGAGAUAUCUAAGGGCCAGGGAGACAAUAUUACUUCCUUUUCCAUGUAUUGUUGUCAGCUGUGAUCCUGGACAAUAAUCCCUACCAGAGCAGCCCCAAGAAUAAGAAAGACAAAUGCAGGGCACAGAGCAAAAAAGAAAAACAUGAAAAAGGAAAAAACACAGAAACACAAAAGCCUUUCCUCAAAAUCUGUGCUCCCAAAACAUAUUAUUUCAUGCUGAAUUUCUUUUAAAAAUUGUUCAGGUGUGAAAAAUACCUGUUCUGUAUUUUUUAGGAUUUCUCAAUCUUAUUCUGUGAAUUGCUUUUCAGAUGCUUCAAUAAUUUUAUCAACCACUGUUACGUUAGCUUUCUGUUACUGUUGUUACUUAGUUUCACAUGAAGUUGGAGAGAAAAAUAUUGUCCUGGCUACAGGUAAAUACUAGUGGAAGGAAGUACUAUGAAUGAUAAGUAAAUCUAAAAUGACAGUCUUUUUGUAUGGAUCUUGUUGUAAGAGGUGAGGGACAGUCCAUGAGGUUCUGAAGCUCAGGAAUGGAAGAUGAGUUAUCAUAAGUAAUGGAGUCAUUAGUGUCUGAAGCCAUCCAGCAGGUUUCUGUAUCUGCUGGGACACACAACUGGUAUAGAAAGUGAAUUAAGCCAUUAAACCCUGCAACUUCCUGUCUCUCUCCCUGGAAGUAAUGGAUGCUGAUUGGAUUUCAAGCUGAUGAAAGAGCACUCAUGCUUCCAUCUAUACAGGAUUAUAUAUAAUGGGUUCUCUGAGGUAUCGUCUAGACAACAUUGAAACUUAGUUUUUUGUGGUCUUACUGCAAAGAAUAAACAACUUUUUUUUCUUUCACUGCUCUGCACAUUCAGCAGUGUGCACUCAA